rnacentral:rRNA from 1 species
AUUGAACGCUGGCGGCAGGCUUAACACAUGCAAGUCGAGCGGUAGCACAGGGGAGCUUGCUCCCUGGGUGACGAGCGGCGGACGGGUGAGUAAUGUCUGGGAAACUGCCUGAUGGAGGGGGAUAACUACUGGAAACGGUAGCUAAUACCGCAUAACGUCGCAAGACCAAAGAGGGGGACCUUCGGGCCUCUUGCCAUCAGAUGUGCCCAGAUGGGAUUAGCUAGUAGGUGGGGUAAUGGCUCACCUAGGCGACGACCCCUAGCUGGUCUGAGAGGAUGACCAGCCACCCUGGAACUGAGACACGGUCCAGACUCCUACGGGGGGCAGCAGUGGGGAAUAUUGCACAAUGGGCGCAAGCCUGAGGCAGCCAUGCCGCGUGUGUGAAGAAGGCCUUCGGGUUGUAAAGCACUUUCAGCGAGGAGGAAGGUGGUGAGCUUAAUACGUUCAUCAAUUGACGUUACUCGCAGAAGAAGCACCGGCUAACUCCGUG